rnacentral:tRNA from 1 species
GGCUUCGUAGCUCAGCUGGUAGAGCGCUUGCCGUGUUGAGGCAUGCCGUGUUUGUCACUGGUUCGAAUCCAGCCGAAGCCC